UUAAAUUGAAGAGUUUGAUCAUGGCUCAGAUUGAACGCUGGCGGCAGGCCUAACACAUGCAAGUCGAACGGUAACAGGAAGCAGCUUGCUGCUUCGCUGACGAGUGGCGGACGGGUGAGUAAUGUCUGGGAAACUGCCUGAUGGAGGGGGAUAACUACUGGAAACGGUGGCUAAUACCGCAUAACGUCGCAAGACCAAAGAGGGGGACCUUCGGGCCUCUUGCCAUCAGAUGUGCCCAGAUGGGAUUAGCUUGUUGGUGAGGUAACGGCUCACCAAGGCGACGAUCCCUAGCUGGUCUGAGAGGAUGACCAGCCACACUGGAACUGAGACACGGUCCAGACUCCUACGGGAGGCAGCAGUGGGGAAUAUUGCACAAUGGGCGCAAGCCUGAUGCAGCCAUGCCGCGUGUAUGAAGAAGGCCUUCGGGUUGUAAAGUACUUUCAGCGGGGAGGAAGGUGUUGUGGUUAAUAACCACAGCAAUUGACGUUACCCGCAGAAGAAGCACCGGCUAACUCCGUGCCAGCAGCCGCGGUAAUACGGAGGGUGCAAGCGUUAAUCGGAAUUACUGGGCGUAAAGCGCACGCAGGCGGUCUGUCAAGUCGGAUGUGAAAUCCCCGGGCUCAACCUGGGAACUGCAUUCGAAACUGGCAGGCUUGAGUCUUGUAGAGGGGGGUAGAAUUCCAGGUGUAGCGGUGAAAUGCGUAGAGAUCUGGAGGAAUACCGGUGGCGAAGGCGGCCCCCUGGACAAAGACUGACGCUCAGGUGCGAAAGCGUGGGGAGCAAACAGGAUUAGAUACCCUGGUAGUCCACGCCGUAAACGAUGUCUACUUGGAGGUUGUGCCCUUGAGGCGUGGCUUCCGGAGCUAACGCGUUAAGUAGACCGCCUGGGGAGUACGGCCGCAAGGUUAAAACUCAAAUGAAUUGACGGGGGCCCGCACAAGCGGUGGAGCAUGUGGUUUAAUUCGAUGCAACGCGAAGAACCUUACCUGGUCUUGACAUCCACGGAAGUUUUCAGAGAUGGACUGGUGCCUUCGGGAACUGUGAGACAGGUGCUGCAUGGCUGUCGUCAGCUCGUGUUGUGAAAUGUUGGGUUAAGUCCCGCAACGAGCGCAACCCUUAUCCUUUGUUGCCAGCGGUUCGGCCGGGAACUCAAAGGAGACUGCCAGUGAUAAACUGGAGGAAGGUGGGGAUGACGUCAAGUCAUCAUGGCCCUUACGACCAGGGCUACACACGUGCUACAAUGGCGCAUACAAAGAGAAGCGACCUCGCGAGAGCAAGCGGACCUCAUAAAGUGCGUCGUAGUCCGGAUUGGAGUCUGCAACUCGACUCCAUGAAGUCGGAAUCGCUAGUAAUCGUGGAUCAGAAUGCCACGGUGAAUACGUUCCCGGGCCUUGUACACACCGCCCGUCACACCAUGGGAGUGGGUUGCAAAAGAAGUAGGUAGCUUAACCUUCGGGAGGGCGCUUACCACUUUGUGAUUCAUGACUGGGGUGAAGUCGUAACAAGGUAACCGUAGGGGAACCUGCGGUUGGAUCACCUCCUUA
rnacentral:rRNA from 1 species